rnacentral:tRNA from 1 species
AGGAACUUAGGAUAAAUUUAGACCAAGAGCCUUCAAAGCUCUAAGUAGGAGUUAAAAUCUCCUAGUUCCUG